GACGAACGCUGGCGGCGUGCUUAACACAUGCAAGUCGAACGCUGAAGCUCAGCUUGCUGGGUGGAUGAGUGGCGAACGGGUGAGUAACACGUGAGUAACCUGCCCUCUUCUUUGGGAUAACGCCCGGAAACGGGUGCUAAUACUGGAUAUUCACUGAUUCUCGCAUGGGGGUUGGUGGAAAGGUUUUUUCUGGUGGGGGAUGGGCUCGCGGCCUAUCAGCUUGUUGGUGGGGUGAUGGCCUACCAAGGCUUUGACGGGUAGCCGGCCUGAGAGGGUGACCGGUCACAUUGGGACUGAGAUACGGCCCAGACUCCUACGGGAGGCAGCAGUGGGGAAUAUUGCACAAUGGGCGAAAGCCUGAUGCAGCGACGCCGCGUGAGGGUUGGAGGCCUUCGGGUUGUAAACCUCUUUCGCUCAUGGUCAAGCCGCAGCGUUGGGUUGUGGUGAGGGUAGUGGGUAAAGAAGCGCCGGCUAACUACGUG
rnacentral:rRNA from 1 species